ACUCAAAUGAAUUGACGGGGGCCCGCACAAGCGGUGGAGCAUGUGGUUUAAUUCGAUGCAACGCGAAGAACCUUACCUACUCUUGACAUCCAGAGAAUUCGCUAGAGAUAGCUUAGUGCCUUCGGGAACUCUGAGACAGGUGCUGCAUGGCUGUCGUCAGCUCGUGUUGUGAAAUGUUGGGUUAAGUCCCGCAACGAGCGCAACCCUUAUCCUUUGUUGCCAGCACGUAAUGGUGGGAACUCAAAGGAGACUGCCGGUGACAAACCGGAGGAAGGUGGGGAUGACGUCAAGUCAUCAUGGCCCUUACGAGUAGGGCUACACACGUGCUACAAUGGCAUAUACAAAGAGAAGCAAACUCGCGAGAGCAAGCGGACCUCAUAAAGUAUGUCGUAGUCCGGAUUGGAGUCUGCAACUCGACUCCAUGAAGUCGGAAUCGCUAGUAAUCGUAGAUCAGAAUGCUACGGUGAAUACGUUCCCGGGCCUUGUACACACCGCCCGUCACACCAUGGGAGUGGGUUGCAAAAGAAGUAGGUAGCUUAACCUUCGGGAGGGCGCUUACCACUUUGUGAUUCAUGACUGGGGUGAAGUCGUAACAAGGUAACCGUAGGGGAACCUGCGGUUGGAUCACCUCCUUA
rnacentral:rRNA from 1 species